AGCGAACGCUGGCGGCAGGCCUAACACAUGCAAGUCGAGCGCCGUAGCAAUACGGAGCGGCAGACGGGAGAGUAACACGUGGGAACGUGCCCUUCAGUUCGGAACAACCCAGGGAAACUUGGGCUAAUACCGGAUAAGCCCUUACGGGGAAAGAUUUAUCGCUGAAGGAGCGGCCCGCGUCUGAUUAGCUUGUUGGUGAGGUAACGGCUCACCAAGGCGACGAUCAGUAGCUGGUCGAGAGGAUGAUCAGCCUCACUGGGACUGAGACACGGCCCAGACUCCUACGGGAGGCAGCAGUGGGGAAUAUUGGACAAUGGGCGCAAGCCUGAUCCAGCCAUGCCGCGUGGAUGAUGAAGGCCCUAGGGUUGUAAAGUCCUUUCGGCGGGGAAGAUAAUGACGGUACCCGCAGAAGAACGCCCCGGCUAACUUCGU
rnacentral:rRNA from 1 species